rnacentral:rRNA from 1 species
AGUGAACGCUGGCGGCAGGCCUAACACAUGCAAGUCGAACGACAGCACAGUAAGAGCUUGCUCUUGCGGGUGGCGAGUGGCGGACGGGUGAGGAAUGCAUCGGAUUCUUCUUUUACGUGGGUGAUAACGUAGGAAAAGUUAUGCUAAUACCGCAUACGUCGUACGGGGGGAAGCAGGGGUUCUUCGGGCCUUGCGCGUGAGAUUGAGCCGCAGCCGGGUUAGCUAGUUGGCGGGGUAACGGCUUACCAAGGCGACGAUCCGUAGCUGGCCUGAGAGGAUGAUCAGCCACACUGGAACUGAGACACGGUCCAGACUCCUACGGGAGGAAGCAGUGGGGAAUAUUGCGCAAUGGGCGAAAGCCUGAUCCAGCCAUACCGCGUGGGUGAUGAAGGACUUCGGGUUGUAAAACCCUGUUGUUGGGAAAGAAAAGAAGUACUUUAAUACGCGGCUGUUCUGACGGUACCCAAAGAAUAAGCCCCGGCUAACUUCGUG